rnacentral:rRNA from 1 species
GACGAACGCUGGCGGCGUGCCUAAUACAUGCAAGUCGAGCGGACUUGAAGAGGAGCUUGCUUCUCUGAGAGUUAGCGGCGGACGGGUGAGUAACACGUAGGCAACCUGCCCUCAAGACUGGGAUAACUACCGGAAACGGUAGCUAAUACCGGAUAAUUAAAUUCGCUGCAUGGCGGAUUUAUGAAAGGCGGAGCAAUCUGUCGCUUGAGGAUGGGCCUGCGGCGCAUUAGCUAGUUGGUGAGGUAACGGCUCACCAAGGCGACGAUGCGUAGCCGACCUGAGAGGGUGAACGGCCACACUGGGACUGAGACACGGCCCAGACUCCUACGGGUGGCAG